rnacentral:rRNA from 1 species
UACGUAGGGUGCGAGCGUUGUCCGGAAUCAUUGGGCGUAAAGGGCGCGUAGGUGGCCUGGUCAGCGUGCGGUGAAAGCUCGGGGCUCAACCCCGAGUCGGCCGUGCGAACUGCUGGGCUCGAGCACUGUAGAGGCAGGCGGAAUUCCGGGUGUAGCGGUGGAAUGCGUAGAGAUCCGGAAGAACACCGGUGGCGAAGGCGGCCUGCUGGGCAGUAGCUGACACUGAGGCGCGACAGCGUGGGGAGCAAACAGG